AUUAUUACCUGGCAGAGAAGAUACCAUGAUCAAGAAGGUGGCUUUCCCAGAGUGAGGUUCCCCCAUUGCACUCUGGGUAUGCUGGCUUCUGCGAUCUCUCCAAGUGUAGGAAACUCAACUGCAUGGUCUAUGGUAGUGGGGGGGGGAUAGUAUUUGGGCUUUCCCUUA